rnacentral:rRNA from 1 species
ACGAUCCCUAGCUGGUCUGAGAGGAUGAUCAGCCACACUGGAACUGAGACACGGUCCAGACUCUACGGGAGGCAGCAGUGGGGAAUAUUGCACAAUGGGGGAAACCCUGAUGCAGCCAUGCCGCGUGUAUGAAGAAGGCUUCGGGUUGUAAAGUACUNUCAGUCGUGAGGAAGGUUGKGUAGUUAAUAGCUGCUUAAUUUGACGUUAGCGACAGAAGAAGCACCGGCUAACUCCGUGCCAGCAGCCGCGGUAAUACGGAGGGUGCGAGCGUUAAUCGGAAUUACUGGGCGUAAAGNGCAKGCAGGCGGUCUGUUAAGCAAGAUGUGAAAGCCCGGGGCUCAACCUCGGAACCGCAUUUUGAACUGGCAGACUAGAGUCUUGUAGAGGGGGGUAGAAUKUCAGGUGUAGCGGUGAAAUGCGUAGAGAUCUGAAGGAAUACCGGUGGCGNAGGCGGCWNNCUGGANAAANACUGANGNUNAGAUGCGAAAGCGUGGGGAGCAAACAGGAUUAGAUANCCUGGUAGUCCACGCNGUAAACGAUUCUACUUGGAGGUUGUGGCUUGGAGCCGUGGUUUUCGGAGUAACGCGUUAAGUAGA